UUUUUAUGUUUUCGUUUCAAAUGUUUCUUCGUACGUAUAUGUAUAUUGCAGGAAUCUUGAUGUUUAUCUUUUGUUCUUCUCUUUCUUUGCUCAAUUUUUUUGUGGUUUAAGAGUAGUAUGUGAUUCUCUAUAUUUCUUAUUUCCCUUGAACCACCAAGGAAAUUCUCUAUAUUUCUUAUUUCCCUUCAACCUGAGGAGGUUUGUAUUUGUUUUUCAAAUUUUCCACAUUGGAAAGGAUAAUGCUUU
rnacentral:lncRNA from 1 species